GCAAACUUGGUCAUUUAGAGGAAGUAAAAGUCGUAACAAGGUUUCCGUAGGUGAACCUGCGGAAGGAUCAUUAACGAUUUUGACCGUCGGGGUUCUGUGCUGGCCGUCCGGCAUGUGCACGUCCCCUUCAUCAUCAUUCUCCACACACCUCGUGCACCUUUCCAGGUGGCUCCCCUGUCAUGGGGGUGGCCGCCUUUUUUUUCAAACAUGCGCCUCUUUUUGUGUACUUUGGCAUGUCUGUUAUGAAUAAGUAACAACUUUCAACAACGGAUCUCUUGGCUCUCGCAUCGAUGAAGAACGCAGC
rnacentral:misc_RNA from 1 species